GAUGAAGAACGUAGUGAAAUGCGAUAACUAGUGUGAAUUGCAGAAUUCCGUGAAUCAUCGAGUCUUUGAACGCACAUUGCGCCCCCUGGUAUUCCGGGGGGCAUGCCUGUCCGAGCGUCAUUGCUGCCCAUCAAGCACGGCUUGUGUGUUGGGUCGUCGUCCCCUCUCCGGGGGGGACGGGCCCCAAAGGCAGCGGCGGCACCGCGUCCGAUCCUCGAGCGUAUGGGGCUUUGUCACCCGCUCUGUAGGCCCGGCCGGCGCUUGCCGAACGCAAAUCAAUCUUUUUCCGGGUUGACCUCGGAUCAGGUAGGGAUACCCGCUGAACUUAAGCAUAUCAAUAAGCGGAGGA
rnacentral:misc_RNA from 1 species